UACAGAGGUCCCGAGCGUUGUUCGGAUUUACUGGGCGUAAAGGGUGCGUAGGCGGUGGGGUAAGUUUGAGGUGAAAGCUCCGGGCUCAACCCGGAAAAUGCCUUGAAAACUAUCCGGCUAGAGGGUUGGAGGGGAGACUGGAAUUCUCGGUGUAGCAGUGAAAUGCGUAGAUCUCGAGGGGAACACCAAUGGCGAAGGCAGCUUGCUGGGCCUUACCUGACGCUCAGAGACGAAAGCGUGGGGAGCGAACGGG
rnacentral:rRNA from 1 species